AUGGCGACCGGCGCACGGGUGCGUAACGCGUAUGCAACCUACCUUUAACAGGGGCAUAACACUGAGAAAUUGGUACUAAUUCCCCAUAACAUUCGAGAAGGCAUCUUCUUGGGUUAAAAACUCCGGUGGUUAAAGAUGGGCAUGCGUUGUAUUAGCUAGUUGGUGAGGUAACGGCUCACCAAGGCAACGAUACAUAGGGGGACUGAGAGGAAGGUCCCCCACAUUGGAACUGAGACACGGUCCAA
rnacentral:rRNA from 1 species